UACGGAGGGUGCGAGCGUUGUCCGGAAUCACUGGGCGUAAAGGGCGCGUAGGCGGCCUGGUAAGCGUGCGGUGAAAGCCCGGGGCUCAACCCCGGGUCGGCCGUGCGAACUGCUGGGCUUGAGCACUGUAGAGGCAGGCGGAAUUCCGGGUGUAGCGGUGGAAUGCGUAGAGAUCCGGAAGAACACCGGUGGCGAAGGCGGCCUGCUGGGCAGUGGCUGACACUGAGGCGCGACAGCGUGGGGAGCAAACAGG
rnacentral:rRNA from 1 species